rnacentral:rRNA from 1 species
GAUGAACGCUGGCGGCGUGCCUAAUACAUGCAAGUCGAGCGAACAGACGAGGAGCUUGCUCCUCUGACGUUAGCGGCGGACGGGCGAGUAACACGUGGAUAACCUACCUAUAAGACUGGGAUAACUUCGGGAAACCGGAGCUAAUACCGGAUAAUAUAUUGAACCGCAUGGUUCAAUAGUGAAAGACGGUUUUGCUGUCACUUAUAGAUGGAUCCGCGCCGCAUUAGCUAGUUGGUAAGGUAACGGCCUACCAAGGCAACGAUGCGUAGCCGACCUGAGAGGGUGAUCGGCCACACUGGAACUGAGACACGGUCCAGACUCCUACGGGAGGCAGCAGUAGGGAAUCUUCCGCAAUGGGCGAAAGCUUGACGGAGCAACGCCGCGUGAGUGAUGAAGGUCUUCGGAUCGUAAAACUCUGUUAUUAGGGAAGAACAAAUGUGUAAGUAACUAUGCACGUCUUGACGGUACCUAAUCAGAAAGCCACGGCUAACUACGUG